GGUUCAGGAAAAGUGCUUCUGAUCUGAGGUGACCAGAGCAGGAAGGCGCGAGAGGAGGCAGGCGUUGCCUCACCGCACAGAGACUAGUCUGAGGCUCGGCGGCGGCGCUCAGGGUGACCCGGGUCCCCACCCCAGUCGUCCUGUCCCGGCUCACCUCUGCCCACAUAGUCCGAUGGCGGCGGUCGUGCUGAGGGACCCUGCUCAGGUUCCUCUGCCUGCGGAAUUAUUUACACACCAUGCAGAGCAGGGCCAUGUGACCUUUGAGGGCGUGGCUGUCUACUUCUCCCGGGAGGCAUGGAACUGCUUGAUGAAGCUCAGAGGUGCCUCUACCACAGUGUGAUGCUGGAGAACUUUUCGCUUAUGGCCUCUCUGGGACUUGCAUCUUCCAGGCCCCUUGAAAUUACCCAACUGGAAGCAUGGUGAGAGUCAUUCAUGCCCUCCCAAAGAGUCAUGACUCCAGCUAUGCCAAGAGCAACUGACGCCCUUGGAAAGACAUUUGCAGACGAGUGUGUUGGGCACCCUGCCUCUCAUAUCUGUGCUGCAUCCCAUCCUUGUGUCCUUUUCUGGGGAGGCCUCCCCCAAUCUUUGAGCCUGCCAGACCCAACACUGCUGCACAGUGGGUCCUUUCCCACCCUGACCUCAG